ensembl:lncRNA
UUCCAGAUUCCAAACGUUGACCUGCUACUGCUGAUGACAGUAAUCAGUGUGCAGAUUAAAAUCAUGGACCAAUCAGACAGGCAAGCAGCUCUAGCUCCACCCUCCCUACACGUCCCUCUGCCUUAGUGUGUCUGUCCCAAAAUGGCACCCUAUUGCGUAUAUAGUGCACUGCCUCCCAAAUGGCACCCUAUUCCCUAUAUUGUGCACUACUUUUGACCAGGGCCGAUAGGUCCACAUUUUGACCAGACUUGCCCAGAUAAUGAGUCAUGGAGGCAAUUAUGUGCAUCCCAAAUAGCACCCUAUUCCCUAUAUAGUGCACUACAGGACCUCGAUCUACAUCUCCUGUUCUUCUGUCUGCUGGACGUCUCAGGGUGGAGGUGGUGACACCACGCUGCUGUCCUCAGGGUGGAGGUGGUGACACCACGCUGCUGUCCUCAGGGUGUGAGGGUCAGGGUGGAGGUGGUGACACCAUGCUGCUG